AGCAGCCGCGGUAAUUCCAGCUCCAAUAGCGUAUAUUAAAGUUGUUGCAGUUAAAAAGCUCGUAGUUGAAUUUCGGGGUCAGUAGGUCGGUCGUGCCACUGGUAUGAACUGGUUUUACUGAUUCCUCCUUCUUGAAGAACUGUAAUGCCAUUAAUUUGGUGUUGCAGGGAAUCAGGACUGUUACUUUGAAAAAAUUAGAGUGUUUAAAGCAGGCUUUAGCUUGAAUACAUUAGCAUGGAAUAAUGAAAUAGGACGUUUGAUCCUAUUUUGUUGGUUUCUAGGAUUGACGUAAUGAUUAAUAGGGAUAGUUGGGGGCAUUAGUAUUCAAUUGUCAGAGGUGAAAUUCUUGGAUUUAUUGAAGACUAACUACUGCGAAAGCAUUUGCCAAGGAUGUUUUCAUUAAUCAAGAACGAAAGUUAGGGGAUCGAAGACGAUCAGAUACCGUCGUAGUCUUAACCAUAAACUAUGCCGACUAGGGAUCGGAUGAUGUUAUUUUUAAUGACUCAUUCGGCGCCUUACG
rnacentral:rRNA from 1 species